UCAGAAUCAACCUCCAUCUGCCUCCAUCCUUUAUGAGACCUAAGACGUGAUGCAGCUCCAAUGGGAAAUAUCAGUUGUGUCUCUACCAAGGAUGCAGAAAAAGACAAGGUCCCUAUGGAUGCAAGAGGACCUCCUUCUUUCCCAGGUCCACCCUGCACAGAUACAAUUUAUCACUGUUCAUGGGCUCUAUGGGCUACCUCCAGCUCCUUGAUGGUGGGACAGGACCCACCACCUCCACCUCAACUAUUUGUGAGAUGAACUGUGCCGUAUUAGUUGACAUGUUCAACAUGUUCAGCUUCUAUGUUGUUGAGUCUUUGAGAAGACGUAGAGAUGGCCUCACACGCUUUGUAAUGCAAGGGUGCUGCUGGAUGAGGACACUGUUAAGAUUCCUCAAGUUUCUCAGGACAUACAUAUGUUGGGCUGUGUCAUUUCCAUUACUGAGCUGGGCUGCAUAUAUCCUUUGUGGAGAAGGAAAGAGUCUUUUAAUAGAAAAGCAGGCAUAUCAGUUCUGCAGAUGUGCCCAGCACACAGUCCAUGUCCCUGGCUCUGUGAGAGAUGAGGCAAACCCUUACCAUCAGGGGCUUCAACUGUCCUAAUGGGGAGAGAGUCACAUGCGUUAAAUUACAUGGAGCUUCUGGUCUACAAUAAUGGCAGCUCCAGUAAUGGGUCCUCAAGUACGAGAGAUGGAGACAUGAAACUCAUGGAAAUGAAUUGGAGACUGUGCAUGAGAAGGGAGAGCUGAGAUGGUACAGAGAGGAGGGUGUUGGACUCAGUGAGAUGGAGUUGGAGGCCAUUUGUGGCAGGGCCCACAACCUGGGCAGGGAUUGUGAGCGCAGAGUGGCAUCCACACAGAGCUGCUGUAUGGGUUCAAGGAUAGUUCAUGCAGGUAUCAUCUCUGAAAUGCCAUUGUGGCCAAAGUGCACCUAGUUCAUUACCUAAAUAAAGACUGUUGUUUCUCUUG